rnacentral:rRNA from 1 species
CAUGCAGUCGUGCGGUAUCACAGAAAGCUUGCUCUCGGGUGACGAGCGGCGGACGGGUGAGUAAUGUCUGGGAAACUGCCUGAUGGAGGGGGAUAACUACUGGAAACGGUAGCUAAUACCGCAUAACGUCGCAAGACCAAAGUGGGGGACCUUCGGGCCUCAUGCCAUCAGAUGUGCCCAGAUGGGAUUAGCUAGUAGGUGGGGUAACGGCUCACCUAGGCGACGAUCCCUAGCUGGUCUGAGAGGAUGACCAGCCACACUGGAACUGAGACACGGUCCAGACUCCUACGGGAGGCAGCAGUGGGGAAUAUUGCACAAUGGGCGCAAGCCUGAUGCAGCCAUGCCGCGUGUGUGAAGAAGGCCUUCGGGUUGUAAAGCACUUUCAGCGGGGAGGAAGGCGAUAAGGUUAAUAACCUUGUCGAUUGACGUUACCCGCAGAAGAAGCACCGGCUAACUCCGUGCCAGCAGCCGCGGUAAUACGGAGGGUGCAAGCGUUAAUCGGAAUUACUGGGCGUAAAGCGCACGCAGGCGGUCUGUCAAGUCGGAUGUGAAAUCCCCGGGCUCAACCUGGGAACUGCAUUCGAAACUGGCAGGCUAGAGUCUUGUAGAGGGGGGUAGAAUUCCAGGUGUAGCGGUGAAAUGCGUAGAGAUCUGGAGGAAUACCGGUGGCGAAGGCGGCCCCCUGGACAAAGACUGACGCUCAGGUGCGAAAGCGUGGGGAGCAAACAGGAUUAGAUACCCUGGUAGUCCACGCCGUAAACGAUGUCGAUUUGGAGGUUGUGCCCUUGAGGCGUGGCUUCCGGAGCUAACGCGUUAAAUCGACCGCCUGGGGAGUACGGCCGCAAGGUUAAAACUCAAAUGAAUUGACGGGGGCCCGCACAAGCGGUGGAGCAUGUGGUUUAAUUCGAUGCAACGCGAAGAACCUUACCUGGUCUUGACAUCCACAGAACUUAGCAGAGAUGCUUUGGUGCCUUCGGGAACUGUGAGACAGGUGCUGCAUGGCUGUCGUCAGCUCGUGUUGUGAAAUGUUGGAUUAAGUCCCGCAACGAGCGCAUCCCUUAUCCUUUGUUGCCAGCGGUUCGGCCGGGAA